AUACUUUCUAUGAUAAAUUUAAAAUCUAUAUUAGUAGUAGAAAUUUAAAAUCAUUCAAGAAACGGUAUAACACGGGUGAGAUCCUAAAAUUAUUGUAUUU
rnacentral:sRNA from 1 species